rnacentral:rRNA from 1 species
UACGGGGGGAGCAAGCGUUGUUCGGAUUUACUGGGCGUAAAGGGCGCGUAGGCGGUCAGCACAAGUCAGUUGUGAAAUCUCCGGGCUUAACUCGGAAAGGUCAACUGAUACUGUGCGACUAGAGUGCGGAAGGGGCAACUGGAAUUCUUGGUGUAGCGGUGAAAUGCGCAGAUAUCCGGAGGAACACCGGUGGCGAAGGCGGCUUCCUGGACCGACACUGACGCUGAGGCGCGAAAGCUAGGGGAGCAAACGGG